UGCAGCUGCUACUCACUCUCAGAUUAUUAUUAUUUGCUGCUGCUAUCCUUAACCCUCUCACAAAUUAUCACUUUCACGUUUUGUUGUUCCUUCCACUCCACCAAAUGUAAACAAAAAGCUGUCAUGAGUGAGCCUUUGGUAUUUUAAACUACACAAAGGUUCAUUGUAGAGAUCGGACGCUAUUCCUUGAUAAUGAUUUCGAUUUCUUGUGGUCAUCUACAAACGAGUGUGAUUUCUUUGAUUAAAUAAGUUAAUUCUCAAAAGAAGGGCUUCUUACAAACGGUGAAACAGUACAGGAUUAUGCCUACCCCUACCCGAGCAUAUCUGUUCCAACAUAAAUCGUCACCAUGUUGGAAGGGAGGCAGAAUGCCUCUAUGAAGUUUGACAGGGAUUUGAGCUAUAACCCUACACAGUCUGAGUUAGACUUAGAAUUAGCAAUGAUAAUGUCCCUGUCUUCACAAGAGGCAGCCACAUAUGCUGCUCAAGCAUUUGCUGAAGUGGAAGCCCUUCUAGAGGAAGCUGAAGAGGCAACAGAGGAGAGGAGGCUGAUCCAAACACUUGAAGGGAGGAAUAGUGUGAUAAAGCUUGCUGAUAGAAUGGUCAAAAUGUUUUGUGAAUGCUUAACAAUGCCUGGUCAAGUGGAAUUGAACCAUUUAACUCUUGAUAGCAUUGGUGGGGUUUAGAGUCUCUCUUCGCGAUACCACCGACAAUGAUACAAGCCAGCCAAAUGGCACUGUUGUAACUGCUGCUACCACUCUUUGGCUCCCUCUGCCUGCUCAGAAAGUUUUUGAAUUGCUCAAAGAUCCUACAAAACGAUCACAGUGGGAUGGUCUUUCUUGUGGAAAUCCAAUGCAUGAAAUCGCACACAUUUCAAAUGGACCCUAUCAUGGAAACUGCAUUUCAAUUAUUAAGUCAUUCAUCCCUACUCAGAGGCAAAUGGUUAUUCUGCAGGAAAGUUUCACAUCUCCGGUGGGGUCAUAUAUUAUAUAUGCUCCAAUUGACAGAAAAACUGUGGAUGUGGCUUUAAGCGUAAACAAGAAAGAAAGCAACCAAUGUAAUUGAAAGUGGGUGGUUUUUUUUUUUUUCUUUCUUAAGAAGCUUUUGAAGUACUUUGGUGUGUUGUUGCAUUGAAGGUAUUCUUAAGGGUUUGGUUUGGUUUUAGUAGUUUAAGGUUAUUAUUGUGAAACUGAGCUAUGCUAUGAUAAAAGUUUGUGUGAAUUUCCCC